UGUUCGCGCUAAGCAAUGUGUUAUCGCGGGACGAUGGUCUGAGCUACGACAACACAGUUUUAAUUACCUUUCUUCCUCACCAUCCACCACUUUGGCAAAUUUAAAAGACUAUCUGUGGAGAAUCCAUGGCACGAUAGAGGUCGGACUCGUGGGCCAAGACCUCCUCCUUCUCAUCAAAUACAACCACAAUAUCGAGGAUCUCGACCAUAUCAACAACAAGUUGAAAAUAUGCCACCUCGAUUUGUUCGACGACCAGAAAUUAGACCACCAAGAGUUGAAGAGGUUGGACAAGUAGCAAAUAGAAUCAAUAGCUUGGAAAUAGGUAUAAU